AAGACCACAUUUAAGGCUGCUAACCUUAUGAUAAUGAUUUCAUUUGGUCUUU
rnacentral:tRNA from 1 species